AGCGAACGCUGGCGGCAGGCUUAACACAUGCAAGUCGAACGGGCGUAGCAAUACGUCAGUGGCAGACGGGUGAGUAACGCGUGGGAACAUACCUUUUGGUUCGGAACAACACAGGGAAACUUGUGCUAAUACCGAAUAAGCCCUUACGGGGAAAGAUUUAUCGCCGAAAGAUUGGCCCGCGUCUGAUUAGCUUGUUGGUGAGGUAACGGCUCACCAAGGCGACGAUCAGUAGCUGGUCUGAGAGGAUGAUCAGCCACAUUGGGACUGAGACACGGCCCAAACUCCUACGGGAGGCAGCAGUGGGGAAUAUUGGACAAUGGGCGAAAGCCUGAUCCAGCCAUGCCGCGUGAGUGAUGAAGGCCCUAGGGUUGUAAAGCUCUUUUGUGCGGGAAGAUAAUGACGGUACCG
rnacentral:rRNA from 1 species